UUUUUCCCAAUUUUUAUGUAUUUUGCCAUUGUCGGUCGUUGGUCUCUUUCAAAUUUUCAACAUUUUUUUCUUCCUCAAAUUCCUCUGUUCUUCGUCUUUUACGAUUUUGUUUCAUCUUCACCUGGAAGGCCGGCCGGAUCUCCGACCAGAUAUGAACCGAGAUUUGGAGGCAAUGUUAUGAUGGGCCUGUUUGGGAACAAUAACGAGCAGUUACCUGAAAGAAGAGGCGUUGUCUCUGGAUUUUUUAAAUCCUUGGGCAAAACGGAAUAUGGAAGUAGGGCUGUUCGUCGAGGAAGAAGACUUGGCCGAAGUACCAGAAAAAGAUUCUCAUGUUUGUUUUUGACGAUUGCAACGUCCUUCUUAUUGUAUUUGGCGGUCUUUGGCUUGAAAGUGAACUUUUAUGAUAUAAUUGGAGAUAGCACGUCAGUGUCAGAAGUACAAGAACAUUUGGUAUCCAGAGACCAGAGACCUCCAACUAGCAAGCAUCGUCGGAAGCAACAUUUCCCUUGUGAUGUUGAGUUUGCGGAGUCAGUUGCUUACCUUGUGGAGCCUGGGGGUUUUAUGAAUGUUACUCAGUUCUCCUUAGAGUUCAUAGAGCACGAGGAAAAAGAAUCUGAAACUGAUUUAUAUAUGCCUAGAUUUGGAGGACAUCAAACCCUUGAGGAAAGGGAGAUAUCCUUUUAUGCAACAAAUCAAAAACUUCAUUGUGGUUUUAUUAAAGGACCACCAGGAUACCCAAGUACAGGGUUUGAUUUAGAUGAAAAGGACGUUGCAUACAUGAAAACAUGCAAGGUUGCAGUUUCCUCGUGCAUUUUUGGGAGUUCUGAUUUUUUGAGGCGGCCUACUAGCAAGCAGAUCAGCGAGUAUUCCAAGAAGAAUGUAUGUUUUGUCAUGUUUGUGGACAAGCAAACACUAUCAAAAUUAUCAUCUGAGGGAAAUAUUCCUGAUGAUAAGGGAUACAUUGGACUGUGGAAGAUAGUUGUUGUGAGGAAUUUACCUUACGAAGAUAUGCGCAGAACCGGAAAGGUGCCUAAAUUUUUGUCACAUCGCCUUUUCCCUUCUGCUAGGUAUUCAAUAUGGCUAGACAGCAAAAUGCGUCUUCAGGUAGAUCCGAUGCUAAUUAUUGAAUAUUUUCUGUGGCGAAAGAAGUCGGAGUAUGCCAUUUCAAACCACUACGACCGCCAUUGUGUCUGGGAGGAAGUACAGCAAAAUAAACGUCUGAAUAAGUACAAUCACACUGCCAUUGACGAACAGUUUGCUUUUUAUCAGUCUGAUGGCCUCGUGAAGUUUGACCCUUCUGAUAUCAGUAGUGGUCUUCCUAGUUAUGUUCCAGAAGGUUCCUUCAUCGUCCGGGCACAUACGCCAAUGUCAAAUUUAUUUUCGUGUCUUUGGUUCAAUGAGGUUGACCGCUUUACCUCACGUGACCAAUUGAGCUUUGCAUACACUUACUUGAAGCUGAGGAGAACAAACCAAGGCACACCAUUCAACUUAAACAUGUUCAAGGUAUUUUUUUUGAAAUAAAUGACAAAGCUCAGAGGACUGUGAACGGCGAUCACUAGCAAAACUAUUUCGACAUAGAAUAUUGUCACCUACAAACAUUGAUCCUUGAAGGAUCAGAUGACAGGUUGAAGACGAGGAUAAGCAUUCCCUGUUUUAAAUAUCAGAGAACCUAUGGAGAAGGGGAAUGGUGCUUUAAAUAUGCAUAAUAAAUCUACACUACAUGCAAUUGAGAGCCAAAUAAAUGCAAAAUAUUGUUUGAAUAUCGGUAAGAUGAAAUCAAAUUUUUACUGGUAAACUUUUUGGAUAUUUUCAAAUAAUUGCAAGACUGUCUAAAAUAUUUACAAAAUACAGUGAAAAUAACACUGUUUAUCAAUGAUAGAUUGAGAUAUAUCACUA